GAUAACUUCAGGAAACUGGGGCUAAUACCGGAUAGGAGCUCCUGCUGCAUGGUGGGGGUUGGAAAGUUUCGGCGGUUGGGGAUGGACUCGCGGCUUAUCAGCUUGUUGGUGGGGUAGUGGCUUACCAAGGCUUUGACGGGUAGCCGGCCUGAGAGGGUGACCGGCCACAUUGGACUGAGAUACGGCCCAG
rnacentral:rRNA from 1 species